UGAUAUUUAUAGCAUAGUUGAUCCACUUCGAUCCAUUCCGAACUCGAUAGUUAAACACUAUAGCGGCGAUAAUACUAGAGAGGUAGCUUUCUGGGAAAGUAGCUCAAUGUCAAGACU
rnacentral:rRNA from 1 species